rnacentral:rRNA from 1 species
AUUGAACGCUGGCGGCAUGCCUAACACAUGCAAGUCGAACGGCAGCGCGGGCUUCGGCCUGGCGGCGAGUGGCGGACGGGUGAGGAAUACAUAGGAAUCUGCCCAGUCGUGGGGGAUAACCCGGGGAAACCCGGACUAAUACCGCAUACGACGGUGACGUGAAAGCCGGGGACCUUCGGGCCUGGCGCGAUUGGAUGAGCCUAUGUCGGAUUAGCUAGUUGGCGGGGUAAAGGCCCACCAAGGCGACGAUCCGUAGCUGGUUUGAGAGGAUGAUCAGCCACACUGGGACUGAGACACGGCCCAGACUCCUACGGGAGGCAGCAGUGGGGAAUCUUAGACAAUGGGGGAAACCCUGAUCUAGCCAUGCCGCGUGAGCGAUGAAGGCCUUAGGGUUGUAAAGCUCUUUCAGUGGGGAAGAUAAUGACGGUACCCACAGAAGAAGCCCCGGCUAACUCCGUG